AUUGAACGCUGGCGGCAGGCCUAACACAUGCAAGUCGAGCGGAUGAAGGGAGCUUGCUCCUGGAUUCAGCGGCGGACGGGUGAGUAAUGCCUAGGAAUCUGCCUGGUAGUGGGGGAUAACGUCCGGAAACGGGCGCUAAUACCGCAUACGUCCUGAGGGAGAAAGUGGGGGAUCUUCGGACCUCACGCUAUCAGAUGAGCCUAGGUCGGAUUAGCUAGUUGGUGGGGUAAAGGCCUACCAAGGCGACGAUCCGUAACUGGUCUGAGAGGAUGAUCAGGCACACUGGAACUGAGAAACGGUCCAGAGUCCUACGGGAGGCAGCAGUGUGGAAUAUUGGACAAUGGGCGAAAGCAUGAUCCAGCCAUGCCGCGUGUGGGAAGAAGGUCUUCGGAUUGUAAAGCACUUUAAGUUGGGAGGAAGGGCAGUAAGUUAAUACCUUGCUGUUUUGACGUUACCAAAAGAAUAAGCACCGGCUAACUUCGUG
rnacentral:rRNA from 1 species